UCGUAUUACAUGUUUUGUGCGUGAAUCUAAUUCGAAAGGCUUUUUACGGAGGAGACUUAUAUCAUUUGCUGUUGGAUUAGAUUCACGCACAAACUCGUAAUCUGCCU
rnacentral:pre_miRNA from 1 species